UACGUAGGGUGCGAGCGUUGUCCGGAAUUAUUGGGCGUAAAGAGCUUGUAGGCGGUUUGUCGCGUCUGCUGUGAAAAUCCGGGGCUCAACCCCGGACUUGCAGUGGGUACGGGCAGACUAGAGUGUGGUAGGGGAGACUGGAAUUCCUGGUGUAGCGGUGGGAAAUGCGCAGAUAUCAGGAGGAACACCGAUGGCGAAGGCAGGUCUCUGGGCCACUACUGACGCUGAGAAGCGAAGCAUGGGGAGCGAACAGG
rnacentral:rRNA from 1 species